rnacentral:rRNA from 1 species
GACGAACGCUGGCGGCGUGCUUAACACAUGCAAGUCGAGCGGAAAGGCCCCUUUGGGGGUACUCGAGUGGCGAACGGGUGCGUAACACGUGAGUAACCUUCCCUUGACUUCGGGAUAACUUCAGGAAACUGGGGCUAAUACCGGAUAGGAAUCCUUGCUGCAUGGUGGGGGUUGGAAAGCUUCGGCGGUUUUGGAUGGACUCGCGGCUUAUCAGCUUGUUGGUGGGGUAGUGGCGUACCAAGGCUUUGACGGGUAGCCGGCCUGAGAGGGCGACCGGCCACAAUGGGACUGAGAGAAGGCCCAGACUCCUACGGGAGGCAGCAGUGGGGAAGAUUGCACAAUGGGCGGAAGCCUGAUGCAGCAACGCCGCGUGCGGGAUGACGGCCUUCGGGUUGUAAACCGCUUUCAGCAGGGGCGAAGCUUGUGGUGACGGUACCUGCAGAAGAAGCACCGGCUAACUACGUG